CCCCUCCCCCCACCCCCAAGGGGGUCGCGUCCCCGGCCGGGCAUUACCAGGUUUCGGCUCCCCGGGCCGCCGGACUACGCUGCACGACCCGCGGGCACAGCUAGAGAUCAGCCGCUUCCGCUUCAACUCUCCCUCACGUGAUGACUUGCCGUUCUUCGCUUCCGGCCCUGUAGGGCUGUGAAGAUGGGGCCAGCAGCGAUGGUCAGUCGGCUUUGAAGAUGAAAGCAACCCAGCCCACGCGCUUUGCUUCCCUCACACCGACCUAUUCUCGCCUCACAGGACUUUCAUUCAUCUCCACCUGUAACGGAUCUUAACGUCUGUCUCCCCAUCCGGUCUGUAAGCUCCUUGUUGGUAGGGGGUCAUCUGUACCUUCUCUUCGGCACUCUCCUCUCCCGAGCGCUCAGCACAGUGCUCCGCAGCGGGUCAGUGCUCAAUAAACACCACCGACUGAUCGAAGGGGGAGGGGGUUUCAAGGCAGAAGCGAGGGAGGAGGAUGCCGAACGUUACCAAAUUUCCGAACUUGGAUUCUGAUGACGGGGAAUCCAAUCCCUGGGCAACGUUUCCAUGGCUUCCACGACGGAAAGUCACACACAGUUCUCACACU